rnacentral:lncRNA from 1 species
AAUUACAAUAUUUUUGUCAUGAAAAAGAAAUAUGUAAUCCUCUAAAAAACACAUUUUUAAUUGACUUUUUUUUGUUAAGAACCGCCUUCCAACUUCUCACCUUUGCAAUCUUGCCCAUUUCAUAAAUGUCGGCCUUCUCCUCCUCCAGCUCGGCGAAGGCCGUCUCCACGGCAACGAUGGUUGAGUCGUGGUUGGCAGCGGGGCCCAUGGCGGGGAGCCCACGGGGGUAGUAGAACCUGGGAAUGUUUACGGCAGGAGGAGGCGGGGUGAUAAUCGCUGGGGCUGGAGGAGGGCUUGGUGAGCGUGGCGCUGGGGGCGGGGCAGCUGUGGCAGGUGCAGGUGGAGAACCAGGCAGACAUUACACACCCGUAUAUAUACAGCACAGAGUGGAGGAGCUGCAGCUGAACAAUGACGUUCCUGCAGAGGAGGAGCAGUACAAACCGCCCGGGCGUUCAGUUUAUGGACUCCCAACAGCAUGCGUCUGGUAAAGAAAAGAAUCCUCUACAGGCUCCAGGACUAAGAAUUUCCUGCCCCUCCCUCGUCAUCUCGCAUAGCUGCACCUUGUUAGGACACAUUUGCAGAGCCACACAGAGGAAUUCAGCGAAACCGCGACAGAACGGGACGACGAGAAUGACACCAUAAACCAUUUCUUAAUAAAUGAUCGUCUUCUUGAAUGAAACAAAACCCCAAAGGUUGAAACAGCUUCUGAU